CGAUACCAGGUCAAAAAGGUCAUGAAUACGAUCCAAGCUCGCUUGCAGGAGAAUUCUAGAACUUGGAACCCGCCUAAAACAUGAGUAAGAAGCCAUGUUCGGAAGAUGAAUGAGCGGAUUACGAAUGUGUUCAGAAUGGCGAGAGAGCAAAGCACGUAGCAAUUCGGUAUCA
rnacentral:sRNA from 10 species